AACAUUAAAUUUUCGACUCAGACGCUGAUACACAAAAGACCCAACCAUGGCCUCUGGGGUGACAGUGACUGAUGAAGUUAUUACAGUCUUCAAUGUGAUGAAGGUCCGUAAGGCCCAGGCGAACGAGGAUGAGAAGAAGAAGAGGAAGAAGGCAGUGCUGUUCUGUCUGAGCGAGGACAAGAAUAACAUUAUCCUUGAAGCAGGUAAAGAGAUUCUGACCGGUGAUGUGGGUACCACCAUCGCAGACCCUUUCCUGCACUUUGUCAAGAUGCUGCCUGCCGACGACUGUCGCUACGCCGUCUUUGACGCAACCUAUGAGACCAAGGAGACCAAGAAGGAUGACCUUGUCUUCAUCUUCUGGGCCCCAGAAGGUGCUCCACUGUAGAGCAAAAUGAUCUAUGCCAGCUCAAAGGAUGCCAUUAAGAAGAAAUUCACAGGUUUCGAGCAUGAAUGGCAAGUUAACGGUUUGGAGGACAUCAAAGAUCGGUGCACCUUAGCAGAUAAGCUUGGAGGCUCAUCAGUGGUCACCCUUGAAGGUGGGCCUGUAUAAAUCCACUCUCUGUCAACUGAGGCCUACAGGGAAAGAAAAAAACAGAAUUUAAGUCCCGGGGGUAUGGCUGUUCAUUCAAGAAUGAGAAGGAAUUGGGUGAGGGGGGUUUAGAGUACAAAUAAGAUGGGGUGGAGGG